rnacentral:rRNA from 6 species
CUUGACCUCAAAUCAGGUAGGACUACCCGCUGAACUUAAGCAUAUC